rnacentral:rRNA from 1 species
UACGUAGGGGGCAAGCGUUGUCCGGAAUCAUUGGGCGUAAAGCGCGUGUAGGCGGCCUUGUAAGUCCGUUGUGAAAGUCCGGGGCUCAACCCCGGGAGGCGGAUGGAUACUGCAAGGCUCGAGUCCGGAAGAGGCAAGUGGAAUUCCCGGUGUAGCGGUGAAAUGCGCAGAUAUCGGGAGGAACACCAAUGGCGAAGGCAGCUUGCUGGGACGGUACUGACGCUGAGACGCGAAAGCGUGGGGAGCAAACAGG